rnacentral:lncRNA from 1 species
AAAUUGAGAAAUGAUUACGUACUUUAUUUUAUAAAAAAUUUAAAAAAAAUUAAUCGUUGUUUAAUGAAAGUUAAAAAUGUCAUUUUAUUAUGUAGCAGGUUAGAAGGUUAUUUCAUAUGUGGAUAUUUUUUUAAUUAAAUUAAGCAAAAUUUUAAAAAAAAAAUUGAUUAAUAUCGCAAAUUUAGCAUUAAUUUUUCACUAAUUUAAGUAUUAAUUUAAGAUUUGAUUGAUAUCCCAAAAUUUAGGCAUUAAUUUUAAAAAUUUUAAAAUUCUUCUAAUUUAGGCAUUAAUUUAAAUUUUAGAAAUUUUAGAAAUAGUAAUAUUUUUGAAUAUGUUGAAUUUAAAUAUUUAAUAUUUAAAUUUAAAAAUUAAAAUUUAAAUAAAAAAAAUUUGUAUUACUAUUUUAUCCGAACCCGAAAGCGAACAUAAUAGAUUUACCUAUACUAAAUGGAUAUAAUUCAAAUUUGGAUAUCAAAACGAAAACCCGACAGAUUUGAAUUCGGUUAUGAAUUUUGAUUGCAUCUUAUCCGAACCCGAAACCGACCGAAAUUUGAAUUUAGUUUAUGUUGUACAUAAUAUACAUAAAUGUUUGAUGUUAUUUUUGAAUAUGUAUUUUAAAAAAUUUAGAUUUAAUUUAAUAUAUUUUGGAAAUAUUGUAAAGAGAAAUAAUAUUUCGGGUUCGGAUUUUGGAUUUUAGGUCGCGCACGGAUGUGAAUAUAACUUUCUAAAAUUUGUUGGAUUUGGAUUUGGGUUUGAAUUUCGGGUUUGAUAGUCGGAUUCGGGUUUGGGUUUUUGAAAAUCCACCCCGAAUCCAACCCCUUUACAUUUUUACUGUGGAUGAAGAGGAAAGAUAGAAAGAGAAAAAAAAAAAAAAAAAGAGAGAUUUGAUGAUAUAAUGGAGAUAAAAUUACUAAAUUAAAAAAUUAAUAAAUUCCNUAUUUUGGAAAUAUUGUAAAGAGAAAUAAUAUUUCGGGUUCGGAUUUUGGAUUUUAGGUCGCGCACGGAUGUGAAUAUAACUUUCUAAAAUUUGUUGGAUUUGGAUUUGGGUUUGAAUUUCGGGUUUGAUAGUCGGAUUCGGGUUUGGGUUUUUGAAAAUCCACCCCGAAUCCAACCCCUUUACAUUUUUACUGUGGAAAAAAAAAAAAAAAAAAAAAAAAAAAAACAGAAAGAAAAGAGAGAUUUGAUGAUAUAAUGGAGAUAAAAUUACUAAAUUACCAACGUAUUAAAAGACCAAAAUAUUCCUCUUUGGGUAUCCGGUAACCGGUAACUCUAUCAAAAUGACUUGCUAUUUCAGGUUAGAAUUUUAAAAAAAAUUAAAUCUGAGCCAUUGAAUAGAAAUAAAUGAACGGAAUCGGAAAAUAACAACUCACAAUUUAAAUUGUUAGUAACAAUGUUUAUAUAAUUUUAUAUGUAAUAUUUAUUCGCGUGAAAAAAAAAAUACAACUAAUUUCC